rnacentral:rRNA from 3 species
UCUGGCGGCAGUAGCGCGGUGGUCCCACCUGACCCCAUGCCGAACUCAGAAGUGAAACGCCGUAGCGCCGAUGGUAGUGUGGGGU